rnacentral:sRNA from 1 species
GCUGGGUGUGGUGGUGCACACAUGCAAUCCCAGCGACUUGGGAGGCUGAGGCAGGAGAAUCACAAGUUCAAGGCCAGACUCAACAUCUUGAGGCCCUAAGUAACUUAGUGAGACCCUGUCUCAA